CGACAAAAACAGCAGCUGAUGACUCACUCCAACAACGCACAGCACCAGAAGGCAAGGAAAUCAAACCUCAGAGGCUAAAUGUUCCAUGACUUCUCCAAGAUCAUGAAGUAAGCACUGACCAGUCGGCGGGCGCCUUGGAAAGUUUCCGGCCCUCCAGGAGGCUUCCUGGCUCUUGAUUGGCCAGUGUGAACAGACUGUAGAGACCGGCGGUCACGUGACGCUGAAGAUUCCCGCUUCUUAAAGCAACCUCUCUUGCUACGUUUGCGAGUAGGUGUGUAUUGUUUUAACACACGUUUAAUAAGCAUAUUUUAUUUUU
rnacentral:lncRNA from 1 species